rnacentral:rRNA from 1 species
UGGGGAAUAUUGGACAAUGGGCGGAAGCCUGAUCCAGCAACGCCGCGUGAGGGAUGACGGCCUUCGGGUUGUAAACCUCUUUCAGCACAGACGAAGCGCCUCUAGGGGUAGUGACGGUAUGUGCAGAAGAAGCACCGGCCAACUACGUGCCAGCAGCCGCGGUAAUACGUAGGGUGCGAGCGUUGUCCGGAAUUAUUGGGCGUAAAGGGCUCGUAGGCGGUUUGUCGCGUCGGGAGUGAAAACACCGGGCUUAACUCGGUGCUUGCUUUCGGUACGGGCAGACUAGAGGCAUGCAGGGGAGAACGGAAUUCCUGGUGUAGCGGUGAAAUGCGCAGAUAUCAGGAGGAACACCGGUGGCGAAGGCGGUUCUCUGGGCAUGUCCUGACGCUGAGGAGCGAAAGUGUGGGGAGCGAACAG